UUCUACACACCUCCUAACUGAUGGCCUAAAGAUGUAAAAUAAGACAUACAUUUUUGGUCAUGGCCAAUGUGGGGAUCUAUUUUGUUUAGUAAUAAAUAUUUGUUACAAGAGCUUUUUUCCAGUUGGGAUAGGGGACAAGAACAAGGAGAGCUAGGGAAAAUAAAUGUCACACAGAAGAAAUGGAGGGAAUCAUGGUGGGUGAGAGCAAGAUACAAUACAUAACCAAUGAGGAACUUUGAAGAACAGGAGGAAGAAAAGAUAUCAACAGGAAUAUGUAUGAAACAUGUUUAAUUGUGAGAAGUAAAGACAAAAGCC